rnacentral:rRNA from 1 species
UCACAAUGCGGGACUAUACGUCUUGCAAUUGGAUUGAGAACAAUGUACAACUCUUAUCGAUAAGCCAUUGGAGGGCAAGUCUGGUGCCAGCAGCCGCGGUAAUUCCAGCUCCAAUAGCGUAUAUUAACGUUGUUGCAGUUAAAAAGCUCGUAGUUGAAGUGUGGGUGAUCGCUGUUGUGAGACUUCGGUCUCUCGACAGUAAGUCACCCCCUUCCAGUAUCCAGUAGUGGGUAUUCAGUUACUUACUAUUGUGUGUUGGUCCUUUACUGUGAGAAAAUUAGAGUGUUCAAAGCAGGCGUUUGCUUGAAUAGAUUAGCAUGGAAUAAUAAUUGAAGGCUUUCGUGUUCGAUUUGAUUGGUUUGUUCAUGGAAGCAAGGUUAAAAGGAACAGUUGGGGGUAUUCAUAUUCACUAGUUAGAGGUGAAAUUCUCGGAUUUAUGGAAGAUGAAC